UACGUAGGUGACCAGCGUUGUCCGGAUUUACUGGGCGUAAAGAGCGCGCAGGCGGUCGUUCAAGUCGAGUGUGAAAGCCCCCGGCUCAACUGGGGAGGGUCAUUCGAUACUGAUCGACUUGAAGGCAGGAGAGGGAAGUGGAAUUCCCGGUGUAGUGGUGAAAUGCGUAGAUAUUCGCAAGAACACCAGUGGCGAAGGCGGCUCACUGGCCCGGUACUGACGCUGAGGUGCGAAAGCGUGGGGAGCAAACAGG
rnacentral:rRNA from 1 species